rnacentral:piRNA from 1 species
UCUCUUUACUCCAAGUUUUGU